AGACUUCCCAGCUGCCUCCAGCAUUCUUUUGUCUCUUGUUCCAAAAAGGCAAAAAUGGCCUUUUCCAGCGGCUGCUCCCUCGAAGUCUCCAUAGCAGCCCUACUGUGUGUGGGAUUUGUCAGUGGGCCACCAUAAUGCAUGAAGAGGCCUCAAACCAAGGCCAGAGUAGGGAGGACACUGCCGGGGCUCUGCAAGAGGCAGCAAAGCCCACUUCAGCAUCCCUAUCGUGGUGACGUUGGGACAUCACCUGACCAGGCCCAUCUCAGCUAUUGUUUGCUAAAGGAGACAGAUCUCCUAUGGGGUGAAGACCCUGGGGUCCAGAGGUCAGAAGGAACUGUCCAACGUCAAACCAAACCAAACCCUUCAGGAGAAGAAAGAUCUGGUGGCCUAUUCUGCAUGCUGCUUCAGGCUGCCACUGUCCUGAUGGACUGUGACAUCCUUGAAGUGGGAGCUGGACUCAACUCACCUUGCUCCUCUUACUCACCUGAAUCCAGUGCAGGGCGAGGCACAGGGAGGCACCCUCCUCUCCAUUCUGACUUCUCUGCCGAGCCAGGUCUUCCCAGCUGCAUUCCUGUGGGUCAAAGCCAAGGAACAGCUCUCCUCUUACACUAGCAAAUCCUAUUAUGGAGUCUUUUUCUCAGCUAUAUAAUUUGU
rnacentral:lncRNA from 1 species